GCUGUGAAUAACGCCGCAGUGAACAUCGGGGCGCAAAUCAUCUUUUCACGUUGGCGCUGCGUUUCCGUCAACUGCGCAGAAACGGAGCCGGAGCAUGUUUUCUGAGUGUGCUGACCACUCGCUCCCGCACCCAGAUCUGUCAGCGUCCUUCUGGUCUAAGCCCUGGGCUUGGAGCAGUUUUAGGCCCCGUGGAACUUGGGGUUCGGGUUUCUGAAAGGAUGAAGAGCCAUGGCCUGAAAUCUUGGGGUGUCUCAGAGUUUUCCGAGACCUGUGCAGGUGACAGCUGCUGUCCUUUCUGCUCUAAGCUGGCCUUGGGAGCCGCAACCAGGAGGGCCACACCUGGAGCUGAGCCAGCGGGACAAGCCGCCAGGACACCGGGUGGGGUGUGAUGCGGCCCGGCAGUGUGGUUGAAUGACAGCGGUCAGGGCGAAUGCUCACCAAGGGCCGUUUCACAUCUGCCUCCGCAGUCCCGACGUUCCCUCUUCUGACGGGUGGAGGACGGGGUGACGGCAGGUGACCGGGCCGGGAGGGGACAGCCAGGACCAGCAGGAUGACGGACGUCUGCUCCAUCCUCGGCCGCGCUGCCUGUGGGAGGCGGGGGCUGCGGCCAGUCCCCCCCCCUCCCUCCAGGUUUUCGCCGAUGGCGCCAGCAGACGUCGCCCCUUCCUUCCUCGGCGGGCACAUUGCAGCCGAUAACGCAGCCCGAGAGACCAGGGCCGCACUGCAAACACGGAUCGGCAUCGGGAGAGGCCCCGGCUUUGAGGACGGGCAGGACGGCUGAGACGAGUGGGGCGUGCGGUCAGAACCCAGAGGUAGCGUGAGUCACGGCAGCGGGCGACGGUGCCUCAACGCGGAGAAGCAGCCGGUGGAGGGGGGCAUGUCGGUGGGAGACGAGGUGACAAGAAGGGCUGGGGGGAGGUCAAGGUGAGGUCAGGGCCAGGGCAGCCCCACCCCUGCUCGCUCACUGACCUCAGCAGGUUACUUCUCCUGGGAAGCGCCAUUCAAAGUGCUAUUUAGAGGGCUAAAUCAUUGAUUAUAUGCAAAACAUACAUUUUGUGAACUUCAAAGCACUUAAUAAACACAAGGUAUAAGUCUUUUAAGUCUAGGAA
rnacentral:lncRNA from 1 species